CUUUGUUUUUCGUUUUGUUUCGUUUUUCUUCUUUUUUUAAAAGACGGAGUCUCGCCCUCUCGCCCAGGCUGGAGUUCAAUGGCCGGAUCUCGGCUCACCGCAACCUCCACCCCUCGGGUUCCGGUAAUUCUCCUGCCCCAGCCUCCCAAGUCGCUGCGGUUACAGGCGUCUGCCACCACGCCCGGCUAAUUUUUUUUUAACUUUUGUAUGUGACCUCCGCAAGGGUGCCUGUCGCUCAGCUCUCUGUGGCUUCCUAAGUCGUGGUGACCUGAUGACGUUCACCGUUUUCUUCCCCGAGCUCGGCGGGGAAACAGAAACUCCCAGGGAUCCGUGGAAAAGCAGCAGCGUGUCGCUGCCCUUUCUAUCCAGGUUGCCGAGACUCCCCGUGUGGCAGGAAACAGGAAUGCCUCGUCAGGCCGUCUCUGCCCGGGAGAGUUUCUGUCUCCGUGCCUUCGCUCUCGUUUUCUAGAGGAACACGAACCGGAUCCACGCAGCUGCGUGUGUGAGAGUGUCGCGGCCACGGCGACACCCACAGACGUGGACGCCUUGACGGAGAGGGGGGGCUUGGAAAACUCAGGCCUGUCACGGGGGUUCGCUUCUGCACGCCACCCUCCCUGGUGACGUGUUCGAGCCCGGAGAGAGGCUUCCAGUUUCCGUAGAAUUCCUGGAGAACCCCAGAGGUCCAGCCCCCGAAGCCCCGCGUGUCCCUCCCCCGCCGCUCAGGCCCCACCCCCGACCACCCCACAGGGCCCUGGUGUCCCUGUGGUUUCCGGCUUGAGAGGGCGGGCUACCCCGCCCUGGGUCCCCGGAGCUCAUGCAAAUUCAGGAAGGGGUGGGGCCGCUAGGUCUCUAUAAAAGCGGCCCCUGGCUGGCGGGGCCGGACUCCUGGCUUGACCUGCCUGCAGGUGCGGUGCACAGCAGAGGUUGGCUGAGGCGCGCGGGAGCCGCCGGGCCUCUGUGUGCCUGUGUCUGUCUGUGACACUCGGCCCGGUCUCCCCGCGAUGGCUCUCCCCACAGCUCCCGGCAGCCCUCUCCCGGCGGAGGCCCGAGGGCGAGGAAGGCGAAAGAGGCUCGUUUGGACUCCGAGCCAGAGGGACGCCCUGCGAGCGUCCUUUGAGCGGAACCCGUACCCGGGCAUGGCCACCAGAGAACAGCUGGCCCAGGCCAUCGGCGUUCCGGAGCCCAGGGUCCAGAUUUGGUUUCAGAACGAGAGAUCGCGCCGGCUGAGGCAGCACCGGCGGGAAUCCAGGCCCUGGCCUGGGCCACGCGGCCCGCCAGAAGGCCGGCGAAAGCGGACGGCCGUGACCCAGUCCCAGACCGCCGUGCUCCUCCGGGCCUUCGAGCGAGAGCGCUUUCCGGACUUCGCCACCAGGGAGGAACUGGCCAGAGAGACGGGCCUCCCGGAGUCCAGGAUUCAGAUUUGGUUUCAGAAUCGAAGGGCCAGGCAUCCAGGCCGGGCUGGCAGGGGACCCGCGGCCGCAGGCGGCCCGCGCGACACGGCCCCCGGCGGGCGCGGCUCCUCUGCUCGCUCCUGGGUCGCCUCCACCCACACCGGGGCGUGGGGGGCGGCGCUUCCCGCACCCCAAGUGCCCUGCGCGCCUGGGGCCCUCCCACAGGGGCCCGUCGUGAGCCAGGCAGCAGGGGCCGUGCCCCUGCUCCUGCACGGACAGGCCCCACAGGCAGAAGGAAUCUCGCAACCUGACCCGGCGCUCGGGGCCCUCGGGGCUUUCGGGUUCGCCGCCCUGGCUCCUUCGGGGGUGGCGCUCCCCCAGCCUCAGAGCCUUCCGGGGCCUCCGCACCCGGGCAGAUGCCACGAGGAGCGGGAGCCGCAGCACGCCGGCCUGCCGGGGACGUGCUCCGUGGGACAGCUUGGGCCCGCUCAAGCCGACUCACAGGGGCGAGGUGUGCAGGGUCCCUGGUGGGGCUGGGGCCAGGGGCCCCAGGUGGCCGGGGCGGCAGGGGAACCCCAAGCCGCGCCACCUCCACCUCCGCAGCCCGCACCCCCGGAGGCCUCCGCCUGGCAGGGGCAGAUGCCAGCCCUGCAGGCGCCUUCCCAAGCGCUCCAGGAGCCGGAGGAGCGCUCGUCUGCGCUCACCUCCAGCCUGCUGGACGAGCUCCUGUCGACCCCAGAGUUUCAGCAGCAGGCACGACCUUUCCUAGAGACGGAGCCACUGGGGGAGCUGAAGGAGGUGGAAGAGCUCGCUUCCCUGGAGCCACCCCUCAGCGAGGAAGAAUACCGGGCUCUGCUGGAGGAGCUUUAAAAGCGGCGUGUCUUGGCGUCUCGCCCUCCCGCUGACCUGUCUGGGAUCCCUGAGUGCCAGGUCCGUCCGUCCGGACCAACGGAGGGACCCCACAGCCUUAAAGCAUUUCGGGAGCUCAAUGCGAUGCGUGCCAGUCCUCGUUUCACCCACGGGGUUCACAGACGGCAUAUCCCCACGGCGAACCCUGCAACGGAGCGCGAGGCAGUCUCAUCCCCACAGGGGUCACCCUCGGGCCGAUUGAAGCGUGAUUUCCGACUUCAGCCUGUGAUCGGCUGGGUGUGCGCGUGCGCGCGUGUGCAUGGAUUUGAGGCUCCUGCGGCCUGUCUUGCCGUUUCGCUGACCUGCCUGGGAGCCCUCAGUUCUAGGUCCGUCCGGUGAGAGACAGCACACAGGGCGGGGCUGUGCUGUCAUUCUCUCCCCAGCAUCUAGGGAACCCCAGAACCCGCCCAGGGCCCGGGAGCUGGGCGGUCUAGUGCGCGUGCGCGGGUCUGCAGGCAGCCCGCGGCCGCUUCUGGGGACCAGCGCAGGCAGAGCUGUCGGCCCUCCUCGCAGCCCUGCCCCCACGCCACCCGGCCUACUUCAGGAGGGUGGGCGGAGGGAGCGUUUCGCCCCCCCCCCCGGAAACACCGGGCCGGGUCCCCAGGCAGGCCGGCUCUCCAUUCCGCUGCACCCCUCUUCUGCCUCCCCGAUUCGCCCACCGAUCACUCGCACACCGGUGCCCCGCCAGCUUCCCCGCCAUCACCGAGUAGCGCCUGGCAGCUCAAUAUAGACCCGAGACCACUCCUCCCACGGCCCCGCUACGAACGACCCCGCGGGCAAACGGAAGGGCUGCUUUCUCCAGGCCGGAGGGAAGGCGGGUAGAGAAGCGGGGAGGAUCCCAGGCCGCGAGGGAGGGACGAGGGAAGGGAGGGAAGGACGCA